UCAAACGACAGUGAAUUAGCUUUAAACCAUUUAUUAACGCCAGUGAAAAUUUCAUUCGCAGCCAUAUUGUUUGGAAGCUCCUCUAAAAAACGUUUUGCGUCAUCACGCUGGUUAAUUAGCUGACAGAUCCUUGCAGAUAUGUACACAACAUUGUUGCCAGAGCUGUUCGAGAGACCUUAACCUUCAAAACUUUAUUGUGUCGGAUUACGAUUUUUUUGGCAUCAGGUGAAACAAGAAAUAAAUUAAUAAAAUACCCAUUUCUACACGCAGUAAAAACUCGUGUGUUAUAAGAUUAUCAUAGCAGAAUUCCAAAAACAUUUUACUUGGCUGGUCGUGAAAACUUCAAAAAAGCUUGUUUUUACUAGGUCCGCAUCAGAGUCAAAGUAUGACCGAGAGAGAUUGGAGGGUGAAAAGAAGCGAUGAUGGAGCAUCUAUGAGUGUUCUAUAAAGGGUGCUGUAUGCAUAGGGGAUAGUAGUAAUAUACAAGCUGCUGAAGGUUUGUUGCAGGGACGCCUACCUAAGUUUAGCUGUUAAUGUACAAUGAAACAGAGUUACUAUAAACAGAAGUCAGGAACUGAGCUUCGAAGACAAAGGAUAAAGGUUACGAAAAUAAUAAGUGAACCAUUAAAUAUUGAUAAUUGGCACAGUCACAAUAAUUCUGUUGUUAGAAUUAUGCAGGAAUAGGGAAAAAAAGUGCUGGCAGGUUGAUUUGAUCCAGACUUCGCACUUUUGAAAUUAAGCACUUACUCACUCAGCUGCUGACUGCUUGAACAUUAGCGACAAUACGAAGUCAUCACGUAGACUCAGAGUUAACACCUAGCUGUCACAUCUUGUUUUUGAAGGCAUUUCCUCUGCUUGGUUUCAUGCUAAACGCUAAAAUAACAUUGAUUGACAUUAUGGGCAAGAACACAGCUGUUUAUUCUUACGUGAUAAAGUAGGGCCAACACUACAGUUGGUGUUGUCAGAAAAAGUGUUGCUCCCAAUGAUUUUGAGGAAACUGAAUUCAUUUUCCAUCAAAGUGAUGAUAGUGACAACGAUUUCCCUUUACACUCUAAGAAAGAGGAGCAUUAUGUUGAAAAAGAACUUCAACAAGGAGACACGUUACAAUCACUAUCCCUGGAUUUUAAUUGCUCAAUUGCUGAGCUGAAGAGAAUCAAUAAAAUUCAUAAGGAAAAUGAAAUAUAUGCAUUGAGAAUAGUGAAGAUUCCAAUUAAACCUGGUUCUUUCAUAAUAGAGAAACUCCAGGCAGAAAAUAUCAAACAUAAUGUAAAAGAUGACUCACUGACACUGACAGCAGAGAUCCAUAGCACACAUGCGGAAGCUGAUCUCUCUCGCAGGUUAGCGGCCAACAGCAUUCCUCCAUCUUUACCGCCAGAUGAAGAAAACUUAAAAAUAUUUGACAGCAAGCAGCUGGUUAGCAAUGCUCUGAGCCAUUUAAAUAACCAGUCUACAAACUGUAUACUGAAAGGUGAUAUACAACUAAGUGAUGACAGAAGGGACUUAAAUGAAUUAACUGAAAUGCCAGUAUCAGCGCAAGAUACAAGCUCAUUGUGGCGAUGCAAUGGAGAUGAUUGUGGAUUAUCAUGGAAACCACUACUACUUUUCAUCUUGUCACUUGGCUUGGCAGGGCCUCUCCUGUAUAUUAUUUACAUUGCAGAGAAAAGAAAUCCUACAUAAAAAUUCACAGUAUUUUAGAUCAACCAGUGGCAUCAUUAUUUAAGUGCUGCUAAAUCUGUUUGAAAGGGUGCUGUAAAACAAGUGGAAACCAGUUAUAUAAAAUUUCUAAGACAGAAUUUUGUGUUUCUUACUGUCUCACUUCCAACUUAUUUCAUCACCACGACCUAAACAACAAAAGGAAAUUUUCUACUGUAAUCAUGAAAUAUUACUUGUAUGUUAAAGCUUAAGUUAUAAAUACUGCAAUAAACUGUUAAACCCCAGAG